rnacentral:rRNA from 1 species
GAUGAACGCUGGCGGCGUGCCUAAUACAUGCAAGUCGAGCGACCGCACGAUAAGCUCUCUCCUUUGCUGUUAGCGGCUGACGGGCGGGUAACGCGUGCAUCACCUUCUUCUUUUUCUUGGGUAACUUCGUGAAACCGGUUCUACUACUGCCUCAUAUUUCCUACCGCUUGAUUCAAAAGUUCUUGACGCUUUUGCUGUCUCUUUUAGCUGGUUCCGCGUUGCAUUAGCUAGUUGGUAAGGUAACGGCCUACCAAGGCGACGAUGCGUAGCCGAGCUGAGAGGGUGAUCGGCCACACUGGAACUGAGACACGGUCCAGACUCCUACGGGAGGCAGCAGUAGGGAAUCUUCGACAAUGGGCGAAAGCCUGACGGAGCAACACCGCGUGAGUGAUGAAGGUCUUCGGAUUGUAAAGCUCUGUUAUUAGGAAAGAAAAGAUGUAGAAGUAAAUGUGCACGUCUUGACGGUACCUAAUGAGAAAGCAACGGCUAACUUCGUG